UACGUAGGGUGCAAGCGUUGUCCGGAAUUAUUGGGCGUAAAGAGCUCGUAGGCGGUUUGUCGCGUCUGCUGUGAAAACUCGGGGCUUAACUCCGGGCCUGCAGUGGGUACGGGCAGACUAGAGUGCGGUAGGGGGGGACUGGAAUUCCCGGUGUAGCGGUGAAAUGCGCAGAUAUCGGGAGGAACACCUAUGGCGAAGGCAGCUCGCUGGGACGUUACUGACGCUGAGACGCGAAAGCGUGGGGAGCAAACAGG
rnacentral:rRNA from 1 species